AGGUUAACCGUAUAGGGGAGCCGUAGGGAAACCGAGUCUUAACUGGGCGAAUGAGUUGCAGGGUAUAGACCCGAAACCCGGUGAUCUAUCCAUGGGCAGGUUGAAGGUUGGGUAACACUAACUGGAGGACCGAACCGACUAAUGUUGAAAAAUUAGCGGAUGACUUGUGGAUGGGGGUGAAAGGCCAAUCAAACCGGGAGAUAGCUGGUUCUCCCCGAAAGCUAUUUAGGUAGCGCCUCGUGAAUUCAUCUUCGGGGGUAGAGCACUGUUUCGACUAGGGGGUCAUCCCGACUUACCAACUCGAUGCAAACUGCGAAUACCGAAGAAUGUUAUCACGGGAGACACACGGCGGGUGCUAACGUCCGUCGUGAAGAGGGAAACAACCCAGACCGCCAGCUAAGGUCCCAAAGUCAUGGUUAAGUGGGAAACGAAGUGGGAAGGCUCAGACAGCCAGGAUGUUGGCUUAGAAGCAGCCAUCAUUUAAAGAAAGCGUAAUAGCUCACUGGUCGAGUCGGCCCGCGCGGAAGAUGUAACGGGGCUAAACCAUGCACCGAAGCUGCGGCAGCGACACGUAGUGUUGUUGGGUAGGGGAGCGUUCUGUAAGCCUGCGAAGGUGUACUGUGAGGUAUGCUGGAGGUAUCAGAAGUGCGAAUGCUGACAUAAGUAACGAUAAUGCGGGUGAAAAACCCGCACGCCGGAAGACCAAGGGUUCCUGUCCAACGUUAAUCGGGGCAGGGUGAGUCGACCCCUAAGGCGAGGCUGAAAAGCGUAGUCGAUGGGAAACGGGUUAAUAUUCCCGUACUGGUGGUAACUGCGAUGGGGGAACGGAGAAGGCUAGGUUGUCCGGGCGACGGUCGUCCCGGUUCAAGCAGGUAGGCAGAGUGAUUAGGCAAAUCCGGUCACUUAAUGCUGAGAUGUGAUGACGAACCACUAAGGUGGUGAAGCAAUUGAUGCCCCGCUUCCAGGAAAAGCCUCUAAGCUUCAGGUUACCAACAAUCGUACCCCAAACCGACACAGGUGGUCAGGUAGAGAAUACUCAGGCGCUUGAGAGAACUCGGGUGAAGGAACUAGGCAAAAUGGUGCCGUAACUUCGGGAGAAGGCACGCUGGCGGUAGGUAAAGUCCCUCGCGGACGGCGCUGAAGCCAGUCGAAGAUACCAGCUGGCUGCAACUGUUUAUUAAAAACACAGCACUGUGCAAACACGAAAGUGGACGUAUACGGUGUGACGCCUGCCCGGUGCUGGAAGGUUAAUUGAUGGGGUUAGCCGCAAGGCGAAGCUCCUGAUCGAAGCCCCAGUAAACGGCGGCCGUAACUAUAACGGUCCUAAGGUAGCGAAAUUCCUUGUCGGGUAAGUUCCGACCUGCACGAAUGGCGUAAUGAUGGCCAGGCUGUCUCCACCCGAGACUCAGUGAAAUUGAACUCGCUGUGAAGAUGCAGUGUACCCGCGGCAAGACGGAAAGACCCCGUGAACCUUUACUAUAGCUUGACACUGAACAUUGAGCCUUGAUGUGUAGGAUAGGUGGGAGGCUUUGAAGUGUGGACGCCAGUCUGCAUGGAGCCAACCUUGAAAUACCACCCUUUAACGUUUGAUGUUCUAACCUAGGCCCAUAAACUGGGUCGGGGACCGUGUCUGGUGGGUAGUUUGACUGGGGCGGUCUCCUCCUAAAGAGUAACGGAGGAGCACGAAGGUUGGCUAAGCAUGGUCGGACAUCAUGCGGUUAGUGCAAAGGCAUAAGCCAGCUUGACUGCGAGAGUGACGGCUCGAGCAGGUACGAAAGUAGGUCUUAGUGAUCCGGUGGUUCUGAAUGGAAGGGCCAUCGCUCAACGGAUAAAAGGUACUCCGGGGAUAACAGGCUGAUACCGCCCAAGAGUUCAUAUCGACGGCGGUGUUUGGCACCUCGAUGUCGGCUCAUCACAUCCUGGGGCUGAAGUAGGUCCCAAGGGUAUGGCUGUUCGCCAUUUAAAGUGGUACGCGAGCUGGGUUUAGAACGUCGUGAGACAGUUCGGUCCCUAUCUGCCGUGGGCGUUGGAAGAUUGAGAGGGGUUGCUCCUAGUACGAGAGGACCGGAGUGAACGCACCACUGGUGUUCGGGUUGUCAUGCCAAUGGCAUUGCCCGGUAGCUAAGUGCGGAAGAGAUAACCGCUGAAAGCAUCUAAGCGGGAAACUUGCCUCGAGAUGAGUCUUCCCUGUCGCUUUAAGCGACCUAAAGGAACGUUUAAGACUAAGACGUUGAUAGGCUGGGUGUGUAAGCGUAGCGAUACGUUGAGCUAACCAGUACUAAUGAACCGUGAGGCUUAACCUG
rnacentral:rRNA from 1 species